AUUGAACGCUGGCGGCAUGCCUUACACAUGCAAGUCGAACGGUAACAGGUCUUCGGAUGCUGACGAGUGGCGAACGGGUGAGUAAUGCAUCGGAACGUGCCCAGUAGUGGGGGAUAGCCCGGCGAAAGCCGGAUUAAUACCGCAUACGACCUGAGGGUGAAAGGGGGGGAUCGCAAGACCUCUCGCUAUUGGAGCGGCCGAUGUCAGAUUAGCUAGUUGGUGGGGUAAAGGCCUACCAAGGCAACGAUCAGUAGUUGGUCUGAGAGGACGACCAGCCACACUGGGACUGAGACACGGCCCAGACUCCUACGGGAGGCAGCAGUGGGGAAUUUUGGACAAUGGGCGCAAGCCUGAUCCAGCAAUGCCGCGUGCAGGAAGAAGGCCUUCGGGUUGUAAACUGCUUUUGUCAGGGAAGAAAUCUUCUGGGUUAAUACCUCGGGAGGAUGACGGUACCUGAAGAAUAGGCACCGGCUAACUACGUGCCAGCCGCCGCCGUAAAAC
rnacentral:rRNA from 1 species